rnacentral:sRNA from 1 species
CUCUGAAGUCCACAGCUGCUCUUGGCUGCUAUUGGAAACCUAUGCACUGCUGGAAAGGCUAUUGGAAUGCUAGAAUAGAACUAAGGAUGUGAAUUUCAGCAGGAGGUGCAGACGUGAAUGAUGUUGAAGAAACCGUCCAAGAACAGGAAACCCGGGUAUAAAAUACUCAGCAUCUUGUUACAGUAACCAUCAACGAAAGCCCUCCCACCAAGCCAUUAUCAUGAGUAACUUUAGUCUUUCAAGUUUCAUAUUAAUA